rnacentral:lncRNA from 1 species
GGGUGUUCGGGUCAAUCCUUACGGGGCCUGACUAAUCCCCUGCGGCCCGGGCCCGGUGCCCCAACCCGACCCGAAUGAUAAGUGCGCGGAGGAACCCAGCGGAGAUUCGAAUUUGGGAUCUUAAAUGUCACCGGUGAGAGGCGCUACCACUGGACCAUUCACGCGGGGGCUUGAAUCAUGCUUGAAUAGCUACAUGUGAUUUUCAAAGAUUAUGCUAAUCACGUCAAACUCAAAAUGAGAUUGAAACUUCACUUUACAAUAAUUAAUAUUCAGGUUUAGUUGAUUAA